UCCGGCUUAUCACCGGCAGUCCCACUAGAGUGCCCAACUGAAUGAUGGCAACUAAUGGCGAGGGUUGCGCUCGUUGCGGGACUUAACCCAACAUCUCACGACACGAGCUGACGACAGCCAUGCAGCACCUGUCUCCAAGCCCCUUGCGGGGAAACUCCUAUUAAGGAGCGGUCUUGGGAUGUCAAACCCUGGUAAGGUUCUGCGCGUUGCGUCGAAUUAAACCACAUGCUCCACCGCUUGUGCGGGCCCCCGUCAAUUCCUUUGAGUUUCAACCUUGCGGCCGUAGUCCCCAGGCGGAGAACUUAUCGCGUUAGCUUCGGCACCGAAGGGGUCGAUACCCCCGACACCUAGUUCUCAUCGUUUACAGCGUGGACUAC
rnacentral:misc_RNA from 1 species